rnacentral:tRNA from 15 species
GCCCAGAUAGCUCAGUCGGUAGAGCAAAGGACUGAAAAUCCUUGUGUCGCUGGUUCGAUUCCGGCUCUGGGCACCA